AAUUGCAUUGUUUAUGAUUAGUAUAAAUGUCAGAUUCCAAUAGCGAGACAGCAUAGCGAAAAACUAACCAAGGAAUUACUGCAAAGUUAUUCUGUCAGAGUAUUGGACUUUCGCUUGCUGGAACAGAGAAUUGGUCAAGACUUCCAAUUGCAUCAUUCGUCAUAUUCUUGAUCCUCAUUGCAAAAUGAAAUCUGUCUACGGAUUAAUGCUUUUGAUGAUUUGGGCUGGAUUGGAG